rnacentral:rRNA from 1 species
CCUACGGGGGGCAGCAGUGGGGAAUAUUGGACAAUGGGGGCAACCCUGAUCCAGCCAUGCCGCGUGUGUGAAGAAGGCCCUCGGGUUGUAAAGCACUUUCAGUGAGGAAGAACGCCUGGUGGUUAAUACCCAUCAGGAAAGACAUCACUCACAGAAGAAGCACCGGCUAACUCCGUGCCAGCAGCCGCGGUAAUACGGAGGGUGCGAGCGUUAAUCGGAAUUACUGGGCGUAAAGCGCGCGUAGGUGGCUUGAUAAGCCGGUUGUGAAAGCCCCGGGCUCAACCUGGGAACGGCAUCCGGAACUGUCAAGCUAGAGUGCAGGAGAGGAAGGUAGAAUUCCCGGUGUAGCGGUGAAAUGCGUAGAGAUCGGGAGGAAUACCAGUGGCGAAGGCGGCCUUCUGGACUGACACUGACACUGAGGUGCGAAAGCGUGGGUAGUAAACAGGAUUAGAUACCCUUGUAGUC